GUGCUUGCUUUGGNGGUACAUAUAUUAAAAUUGGAACGAUACAGAGAAGAUUAGCAUGACCCCUGCGCAAGGAUGACGCGCAUAUUCAGGAAGUGUUCCUAAUUUUU
rnacentral:snRNA from 1 species